rnacentral:rRNA from 1 species
GAUGAACGCUAGCGGCAGGCUUAAUACAUGCAAGUCGAGGGGCAGCAUGAAUGUAGCAAUACAUUUGAUGGCGACCGGCAAACGGGUGCGGAACACGUACACAACCUUCCUAUAAGUGGGGAAUAGCCCAGAGAAAUUUGGAUUAAUACCCCGUAACAUAAUGAUGUGGCAUCACAUUAUUAUUAUAGCUACGGCGCUUAUUGAUGGGUGUGCGGCUGAUUAGAUAGUUGGCGGGGUAACGGCCCACCAAGUCUACGAUCAGUAGCUGAUGUGAGAGCAUGAUCAGCCACACGGGCACUGAGACACGGGCCCGACUCCUACGGGAGGCAGCAGUAAGGAAUAUUGGUCAAUGGACGCAAGUCUGAACCAGCCAUGCCGCGUGAAGGAUUAAGGUCCCCUGGAUUGUAAACUUCUUUUAACUGGGACCAAAAAAGGCUAUUCUUAGUCACUUGACGGUACCAGAUGAAUAAGCACCGGCUAACUCCGUGCCAGCAGCCGCGGUAACAC